rnacentral:rRNA from 1 species
GAGUUUGAUCAUGGCUCAGGACGAACGCUGGCGGCGUGCUUAACACAUGCAAGUCGAACGAGAAUCUACUGAAAGAGUUUUCGGACAAUGGAAGUAGAGGAAAGUGGCGGACGGGUGAGUAACGUGUGAGGAACCUGCCUUGAAGAGGGGGACAACAGUUGGAAACGACUGCUAAUACCGCAUGAUGCAUAAGGGUCGCAUGAUUCUUAUGCCAAAAGAUUUAUCGCUUCAAGAUGGCCUCGCGUCUGAUUAGCUAGUUGGCGGGUAACGGCCCACCAAGGCGACGAUCAGUAGCCGGACUGAGAGGUUGAACGGCCACAUUGGGACUGAGAUACGGCCCAGACUCCUACGGGAGGCAGCAGUGGGGAAUAUUGGGCAAUGGGCGCAAGCCUGACCCAGCAACGCCGCGUGAAGGAGAAGGCUUUCGGUAUGUAAACUUCUAUCAGCAGGGAAGAAAAUGACGGUACCUGACUAAGAAGCCCGGCUAACUACGUGCCAGCCGCCGCGGUAAG